rnacentral:rRNA from 1 species
AACGUAGGUUCCGAGCGUUAUCCGGAUUUUCUGGGCGUAAAGCGCGUUCAGGCGGUUUGGCAAGUCGGGCAUGAAAUCUCUCGGCUCAACCGGGAGAGGUUGUCCGAUACUGCUGGACUUGAGGGCAGUAGAGGGUGGUGGAAUUCCGGGUGUAGUGGUGAAAUGCGUAGAUAUCCGGAGGAACACCAGUGGCGAAAGCGGCCACCUGGACUGUACCUGACGCUGACACGCGAAAGCUAGGGGAGCGAACGGG